UACGUAGGGUGCAAGCGUUAAUCGGAAUUACUGGGCGUAGAGCGUGCGCAGGCGGUCUUGUAAGACUGACGUGAAAUCCCCGGGCUUAACCUGGGAACUGCAUUUGUGACUGCAAGGCUGGAGUGCGGCAGAGGGGGAUGGAAUUCCGCGUGUAGCAGUGAAAUGCGUAGAUAUGCGGAGGAACACCGAUGGCGAAGGCAAUCCCCUGGGCCUGCACUGACGCUCACGCACGAAAGCGUGGGGAGCAAACAGG
rnacentral:rRNA from 1 species